UACAGAGGGUGCGAGCGUUAAUCGGAAUUACUGGGCGUAAAGGGCGCGUAGGCGGAGUAAUGAGUGUGAUGUGAAAGCCCUGGGCUUAACCUGGGAAGUGCAUCGCAAACGAUUGCUCUGGAAUACAAGAGAGGGUGGCGGAAUUUCCGGUGUAGCGGUGAAAUGCGUAGAGAUCGGAAGGAACGCCGAUGCGAAGGCAGCCACCUGGCUUGAUAUUGACGCUGAGGCGCGAAAGCGUGGGGAGCGAACAGG
rnacentral:rRNA from 1 species